GACGAACGCUGGCGGCGUGCUUAACACAUGCAAGUCGAGCGGUAAGGCCCUUUCGGGGGUACGACGAGCGGCGGAACGGGUGAGUAACACGUGGGUGACCUGCCUCAGCUCUGGGAUAAGCCUGGGAAACGUGGGUCGUAAUACUGGAUAUGACUCCACGGUGCAUGUCGGUGGGGUGGGAAAGCCUUGUGCGGCUGAGGAUGGGCCCGCGGCCUAUCAGCUUGUUGGUGGGGUGAGGCCUACCAAGGCGACGACGGGUAGCCGG
rnacentral:rRNA from 1 species